rnacentral:rRNA from 1 species
AGAGUUUGAUCCUGGCUCAGGAUGAACGCUAGCGGCAGGCUUAACACAUGCAAGUCGAGGGGUAACGGGGAAGCUUGCUUCCGCCGACGACCGGCGCACGGGUGCGUAACGCGUAUACAAUCUACCUUAUACUGGGGUAUAGCCUUUAGAAAUGAAGAUUAACCCCCCAUAGUCUCUUAGAGUGGCAUCACUUCUAGAGUAAAGGUUACGGUAUAAGAUGAGUAUGCGUUCUAUUAGUUUGUUGGUGUGGUAACGGCACACCAAGACUACGAUAGAUAGGGGCCCUGAGAGGGGGAUCCCCCACACUGGUACUGAGACACGGACCAGACUCCUACGGGAGGCAGCAGUGAGGAAUAUUGGACAAUGGAGGCAACUCUGAUCCAGCCAUGCCGCGUGCAGGAAGACUGCCCUAUGGGUUGUAAACUGCUUUUAUACAGGAAGAAACACCUCUACGUGUAGAGGCUUGACGGUACUGUAAGAAUAAGGAUCGGCUAACUCCGUGCCAGCAGCCGCGGUAAUACGGAGGAUCCAAGCGUUAUCCGGAAUCAUUGGGUUUAAAGGGUCCGUAGGUGGAUAAUUAAGUCAGAGGUGAAAUCUUGCAGCUCAACUGUAAAAUUGCCUUUGAAACUGGUUAUCUUGAGUUAUUAUGAAGUAGUUAGAAUAUGUAGUGUAGCGGUGAAAUGCAUAGAUAUUACAUAGAAUACCAAUUGCGAAGGCAGAUUACUAAUAAUCAACUGACACUGAUGGACGAAAGCGUGGGUAGCGAACAGGAUUAGAUACCCUGGUAGUCCACGCCGUAAACGAUGGUUACUAGCUGUUUGGACUUCGGUCUGAGUGGCUAAGCGAAAGUGAUAAGUAACCCACCUGGGGAGUACGUUCGCAAGAAUGAAACUCAAAGGAAUUGACGGGGGCCCGCACAAGCGGUGGAGCAUGUGGUUUAAUUCGAUGAUACGCGAGGAACCUUACCAGGGCUUAAAUGUAAGUUGCAUUAGUUAGAGAUAGCUAUUUCUUCGGACCACUUACAAGGUGCUGCAUGGUUGUCGUCAGCUCGUGCCGUGAGGUGUCAGGUUAAGUCCUAUAACGAGCGCAACCCCUGUUGUUAGUUGCCAGCGAGUCAUGUCGGGAACUCUAGCAAGACUGCCAGUGCAAACUGUGAGGAAGGUGGGGAUGACGUCAAAUCAUCACGGCCCUUACGUCCUGGGCUACACACGUGCUACAAUGGUAGGUACAGAGAGCAGCCACUGCGCGAGCAGGAGCGAAUCUAUAAAACCUAUCACAGUUCGGAUCGGAGUCUGCAACUCGACUCCGUGAAGCUGGAAUCGCUAGUAAUCGGAUAUCAGCCAUGAUCCGGUGAAUACGUUCCCGGGCCUUGUACACACCGCCCGUCAAGCCAUGGAAGUUGGAAGUGCCUGAAGUCCGUCACCGUAAGGAGCGGCCUAGGGUAAAGUCGAUAACUAGGGCUAAGUCGUAACAAGGUA